rnacentral:rRNA from 1 species
GUUAGCCGGUGCUUAUUCUUCCGGUACCGUCAUCGGACAGGGAUAUUAGCCCCGUCCUUUUCUUCCCGAACAAAAGUGCUUUACAACCCGAAGGCCUUCUUCACACACGCGGCAUUGCUGGAUCAGGGUUGCCCCCAUUGUCCAAAAUUCCCCACUGCUGCCUCCCGUAGGC